rnacentral:misc_RNA from 1 species
UACGGAGGGUGCAAGCGUUAAUCGGAAUUACUGGGCGUAAAGGGUGUGUAGGUGGUUGUAUAAGUUAACUGUGAAAUCCCCGGGCUCAACCUGGGCAGGUCAGUUAAGACCGUAUGACUCGAGUAUGGGAGAGGGUAGUGGAAUUUCCGGUGUAGCGGUGAAAUGCGUAGAGAUCGGAAGGAACACCAGUGGCGAAGGCGGCUACCUGGCCCAAUACUGACGCUGAGGCGCGAAAGCGUGGGGAGCAAACGGG